GCUCCGUUGGUGAACCAGCGGAGGGAUCAUUACAGAGUUCCACAACUCCCAACCCCUGCGAACCGUACCCCAGUUUGUUCACAUUUCUUCCUUUCGGUUGGCCCCCGGCGCAAUCACAAGAACAAACACAAGCAGCGGUGAUCCCCCUGAACCUUUUUUUCUCAACUAGCCUGUCUUAGCAAACAAACAAAUUAAUUAAAACUUUCAACAACGUAUCUCUUUGUUCUUGCAUCGAAGAAAAACAAAAAAAAACGGAAAAAAACAAGUAUAAAAACAAAA
rnacentral:misc_RNA from 1 species